rnacentral:rRNA from 1 species
AUUGAACGCAGGCGGCAGGCUUAACACAUGCAAGUCGAGCGGGGGGAGGUAGCUUGCUACCGGACCUAGCGGCGGACGGGUGAGUAAUGCUUAGGAAUCUGCCUAUUAGUGGGGGACAACAUCUCGAAAGGGAUGCUAAUACCGCAUACGUCCUACGGGAUAAAGCAGGGGAUCUUCGGACCUUGCGCUAAUAGAUGAGCCUAAGUCGGAUUAGCUAGUUGGUGGGGUAAAGGCCUACCAAGGCGACGGUCUGUAGCGGGUCUGAGAGGAUGAUCCGCCACACUGGGACUGAGACACGGCCCAGACUCCUACGGGAGGCAGCAGUGGGGAAUAUUGGACAAUGGGGGGAACCCUGAUCCAGACAUGCCGCGUGUGUGAAGAAGGCCUUAUGGUUGUAAAGCACUUUAAGCGAGGAGGAGGCUACUUUAGUUAAUACCUAGAGAUAGUGGACGUUACUCGCAGAAUAAGCACCGGCUAACUCUGUGCCAGCCGCCGCCGUAA